UACGGAGGGGGCUAGCGUUGUUCGGAAUUACUGGGCGUAAAGCGCGCGUAGGCGGCUUUCUAAGUCGGGGGUGAAAUCCUGGAGCUCAACUCCAGAACUGCCUUCGAUACUGGAAAGCUCGAGUCCGGGAGAGGUGAGUGGAACUGCGAGUGUAGAGGUGAAAUUCGUAGAUAUUCGCAAGAACACCAGUGGCGAAGGCGGCUCACUGGCCCGGUACUGACGCUGAGGUGCGAAAGCGUGGGGAGCAAACAGG
rnacentral:rRNA from 1 species